GACGAACGCUGGCGGCGUGCUUAACACAUGCAAGUCGAACGGAGAAUUUUAUUUCGGUAGAAUUCUUAGUGGCGAACGGGUGAGUAACGCGUAGACAACCUGCCUCUUAGAUGGGGACAACAUCGCGAAAGCGGUGCUAAUACCGAAUGAAGUGGAGCUUCCGCAUGGAAGCAUCACCAAAGGUGGCCUCUAUUUAUAAGUUACCACUGAGCGACGGGUCGCGGUCUGAUUAGCUAGUUGGCGUGGUAAUGGCCCACCCAGGCGAUGUUCAGUAGCCGGUCUGAGAGGAUGAACGGCCACAUUGGGACUGAGACACGACCCAAACUCCUACGGGAGGCAGCAGUAGGGAAUCUUCCGCAAUGGACGAAAGUCUGACGGAGCAACGCCGCGUGAGUGAAGAAGGUUUUCGGAUCGUAAAGCUCUGUUGUUUGAGACGAAUGUGCAGACUUUGAAUAAGGGUUUGUAAUGACGGUAUUAAACGAGAAAGCCACGGCUAACUACGUGCCAGCCGCCGCGGUAA
rnacentral:rRNA from 1 species